UACGUAGGGUGCAAGCGUUAUCCGGAAUUAUUGGGCGUAAAGAGCUCGUAGGCGGUUUGUCGCGUCUGCUGUGAAAGACCGGGGCUCAACUCCGGUUCUGCAGUGGGUACGGGCAGACUAGAGUGCAGUAGGGGAGACUGGAAUUCCUGGUGUAGCGGUGAAAUGCGCAGAUAUCAGGAGGAACACCGAUGGCGAAGGCAGGUCUCUGGGCUGUAACUGACGCUGAGGAGCGAAAGCAUGGGGAGCGAACAGG
rnacentral:rRNA from 1 species